rnacentral:ncRNA from 1 species
CCAGCUGAAUUUAAGCACAGUACUAGGCGGAGGAAAAGAAACUAACAAGGAUUCCCCCAAGCGGCGAGCGAACAGGGAGGAGCCCAGCACCGAAUCCCGCGCGGAGACGUCGUGUGAGUGAGGUCCCACUCUCCCGGGGCGCGGUCUCCCUUGAACGGGGCCAUCGCCCGCAGAGGAUGCCAGGACCGCGGCCGCUCCGGGGUGGGGACUCACCUCAGAGUCGUAUUCCUUGAUUGUGGAGCACUAAGAGGGCGGUAAACUCCAUCUAAGGCUAAAUAUGACCACGAGAUCGAUAGCGAACAAGUACCGUGAGGGAAAGUUGGAAAGAACUUUGAAGAGAGAGUACGUGGACCGUGGCGG